rnacentral:rRNA from 1 species
UACGGAGGGGGGCUAGCGUUGUUCGGAAUUACUGGGCGUAAAGAGCUCGUAGGCGGUCUGUCGCGUCUGCUGUGAAAACUCAGGGCUUAACCCUGAGCUUGCAGUGGGUACGGGCAGACUAGAGUGCGGUAGGGGAGAUCGGAAUUCCUGGUGUAGCGGUGAAAUGCGCAGAUAUCAGGAGGAACACCGGUGGCGAAGGCGGAUCUCUGGGCCGUAACUGACGCUGAGGAGCGAAAGCGUGGGGAGCGAACAGG